rnacentral:lncRNA from 10 species
GGCGUUUCAAAACUAGACUGGCCGGAGCCGAUGGAAUGUCUUGGAUCCCAGAGUAGGGAGUAAGUACUACAGCUUCUAAAAUGCUCUCACUCACAUGCUUCAUCAAUGCAAAUGACAGUUCGAAAGACCAAGAGCUUUUGGAUUCUACUUGGACUUCUUUUGAAAGGAGACUUGGGCUCAUCCUGCUGGCCUCUGCCCUCUGCUAACCUCCCAGGACUCCUGACUGGGCCUAUGCUGGAUACCAACCAUACAAGAUGAAUGUCUUGCCAAGCUGGAUGUGGAAGUAUAUUUGGUCCUUUGAAGGUUAAUGAUCAAUCCAGACCACAAAUGGAUGACAGUCAAACACUGCCUUGGGUGGGCUAAUGGCUUGUGUUUCAGGACUGAGAACUCAUUAACAGUCCCCCGCCGCCUUGUCUGCUCCUAGCGAUUGGCCUCCACCUCCACUAACACUCAGCCCUUCCCUUGGCCCUUGGCUUUUUCUCUGCUUCAACCACAGGCUUUCUCUCUCUCUCUCUCUCUGAGCCUCGGCUUCUCUUAUAGACUCUAUCCCAUUCUCAUUCCAAGACACAGAACCCCUUCUUAUCUACCUGAAGCUAUAGUUGGUCAUUGGUAUCAUGGAAAACAGGAGCUGAC